rnacentral:rRNA from 1 species
CCUACGGGAGGCAGCAGUCGAGAAUCAUUCACAAUGGGGGAAACCCUGAUGGUGCGACGCCGCGUGGGGGAAUGAAGGUCUUCGGAUUGUAAACCCUUGUCAUGUGGGAGCAAAUUAAAAAGAUAGAACCACAAGCGGCAGAGACGGCUAACUCUGCGCCAGCAGACGUGGUAAUACAGAGGUCUCAAGCGUUGUUCGGAAUCACUGGGCGUAAAGCGUGCGUAGGCUGUUUCGUAAGUUGUGUGUGAAAGGCGCGGGCUCAACCCGCGGACGGCACAUGAUACUGCGAGACUAGAGUGAUGGAGGGGGAAGCGGAAUUCUCGGUGUAGCAGUGAAAUGCGUAGAUAUCGAGAGGAACACUCGUGGCGAAGGCGGGUUCCUGGACAUUAACUGACGCUGAGGCACGAAGGCCAGGGGAGCGAAAGGGACUAGAUACCCCGGUAGUC